rnacentral:rRNA from 1 species
AUUGAACGCUGGCGGCAGGCCUAACACAUGCAAGUCGAGCGGAGCGCCCGACGGGUGCGUAAUGCUUAGGAAUCUACCAGGUAGUGGGGGCUAAUGUUCGGUAACGGACGCUAAUACCGCUUACUAUCAGUUUAGCCUAGGCGGGAUUAGCUUGUUGGUGGGGUAAAGGCCUACCCAGGCGACGAUCCGUACCUGGUCUGAGUGGAUGAACAGCCACACUGGAACUGAGACACGGUCCAGACUCCUACGGGAGGCAGCAGUGGGGAAUAUUGGACAAUGGGCGAAAGCCUGAUGCAGCCAUGCCGCGUGUGUGAAGAAGGUCUUCGGAUUGUAAAGCACUUUAAGUUGGGAGGCGUUACCAGCAGAAUAAGCACCGGCUAACUGCGUGCCAGCAGCCGCGGUAAUUC